GGAACCUCCGGCUCUCAGUAGCUGUUAGCUGCGUGAGCGAAGAACACAUGUCUCGAUACUCUUUCGUUCUUCACCCCCCCCCCUCCCCCCAAGAACAUGGCAUCAAAUGCUGAGCCCGAAUCGACUGGGAAUUAACUGAAAAUGACUCCAGAGAAGGACAAACAUAAGACAUCCAUUUUCAGAAAUUAACGAGUUUGCUUUGCGUUCGUCUGGCGGCCUCGAGCACCGCGGGCGGCACCGAUCGGGAGGAGGGCCUUGCAAGGUCUCGUCGGCCUUGAGUUUACACAAGGGCCAAAAGCUUAUCUAGAUUCCUAGCGGUUCAGGGUCACCGUUGCAGUGAGCUCCAGAAUCAGAAUCACAUGACGAAACGACGGCGCAGGAAGGUGAACCUCGGCGAGACCAACUCGGAGAGACGAGGAGGGUUAGCUGCUCGGGCACGACUCACCGCGGGCUCAGGGACUGCUUCUGGUAUGAUGACUUGGCGGCGACGGUAGCAGGUGGCAGGAGGCCCGUCAGCUGGAAGGAGCCGAGAAGUACGGGGAGGAAAGGAGGCGACAGGAGGCGAGGCGAGAAGAAGUAAAGGGCGGGAGGAGGAGGCGCGCCCCACUUCUGGUUUGCAUCCGGCCCAAGACGACGUUACGCAUGGACUUCAUCAUAUUGGAAAACUAGAAAUCAAAUAGAUUAUAUAAUAUUAAAUAAAAAAAAGGAAAAGUGUCAAAGAUGUGAAAACUUUACCUGGAGCUCACUGCAACGGUGACCCUGAACCGCUAGGAAUCUAGAUAACCUUUUGGCCCAUGAGGAGACAUCGGAAGGCGCCCUCCCCCCGAUCGGCGCCGCCCGCGGAGCUCGAGGCCACAGGGUCCUCGGAAGGUGUUGGUCUCCUGAGCGGCGCCGCCUGCGGUGCUCGAGGCCGCCAGACGAACACAAAGCUUUCGAACUGCAUGCAAAUAAACGGACGAUAUUACAAAGGAUAUAGCUAUAAUCAGCAACAGGGAUGGUGUUGCAAGAAGCUAAAGUUGAGAGAGAGACUAGUUCAAGUUUCUUACCUUGUCAAUUUCUGCAAAAGAAACAUCAGUUGUCUUAUAUUCGACCUUCUUCGGAGACUUCUGUGAAUACCCAGGCGAUUUUGGCUCAGCGUUUGAUGCCAUGUUCUUGCGGGGGGGUGGGGGGGGGGGUGAAGGACGAAAGAGUGAUCGAGACACGUGCUAUUCGCUCACGCUACUGAAAGCUGGAGGUUCCUCUGGGCGGGAGAGACAAUGCAGUCUUAACAAAUGCGCCCGGGCGGUUCCCCUGGCAUGUACGAAUGCUGUCCUCCUCUCCUCUCUCUCUCUCUCUCUCUCUCUCUCUCUCUCUCUCUCUCUCUCUCUCUCUCUCUCUCUCUCUCUCUUCUCUCUCUCUCUCUCUCUCUCUCUCUCUCUCCCCCUCUCUCUUCCUCUCUAUGUUAUAGAUGAUAUAACAAAAAUGAAAUUAGAAAACAGUGAUGACUGACGGCUGAGCAAAUCGAAGAUAAUCGUGAUAUAUCAGAAACAUCAAGGCAACAGAAACCAUUGAAAGGAGUCAACAUUCCCUCGCAGAGUGACUUUUAGGAUUACCGACUUAUUUUCUUAUAUUUCACAAAAAAAAAAAAA